UUGGUUGCUUUUGGACAAAUAUCCAAAUCUAUAGUGCAACACCUCCCCUUCUACUGCAUGGCCUGCAGUGGUGUACUAAGAUUCGUCAUGGAAAGUGGUAACAAGGGUUGUUAGGUUGUUUGCUUAACUGUAGAGUUCUCUUGAUAUCCUGGUUACUUUGGAGCUUACACCUUAGUGAGAGGCAUGAUAGUCUCAAAGCAUUUUUUAUAUGUUUCUUUUGGUUUGGCAUCAGCUCUACAGUUUUAACAUUUCAAUUCUUGCCUGUCACACGUUGUCGGAACAUCGUCUAUUGGUUUAUCAAUUAGUUUAG